GACUCAUCUCUGACUUAGGCAGGAAGAACAAGAUGGAUAAGCCCCUGUAUAUCAACUGAAUUCUUGGUUGCUACAAGAGACUUGGGUAGAAAAGCCCAGUUUUGAUUUGGGAAAGGGAAUGCUGUGUGCUCACCAGAACUGUUGCACUAUAACAAAGUGUUAUUAUUCAUAAGGUGUCCCUAAAAUUGAGAAUCAGAAUUUGAUUUAAAUUCACACAUUUAAAAUAUUAGGCUGCUGAUAUGGUUUGAAUUUGUGUUCCCGCCCAAAUCUCAUGUCGAAUUGUAAUCCCCUGUGUUGGAGGAGGGGCUUGGUGGGAAG
rnacentral:lncRNA from 10 species